UGCCUUACACAUGCAAGUCGAACGGCAGCACGGGAGCAAUCCUGGUGGCGAGUGGCGAACGGGUGAGUAAUAUAUCGGAAACGUGCCCAGUCUGGGGGAUAACGUAGCGAAAGCUACGCUAAUACCGCAUACGAUCUAUGGAUGAAANCGGGGGAUCGCAAGACCUCGCGCGAUUGGAGCGGCCGAUAUCAGAUUAGGUAGUUGGUGAGGUAAAGGCUCACCAAGCCGACGAUCUGUAGCUGGUCUGAGAGGACGACCCAGCCACACUGGGACUGAGACACGGCCCAGACUCCUACGGGAGGCAGCAGUGGGGAAUUUUGGACAAUGGGCGCAAGCCUGAUCCAGCAAUGCCGCGUGCAGGAUGAAGGCCUUCGGGUUGUAAACUGCUUUGUACGGAACGAAACGGUGAGCUCUAAUACAGUUUGCUAAUGACGGUACCGUAAGAAUAAGCACCGGCUAACUACGUG
rnacentral:rRNA from 1 species